AGGGGUAUAGCUCAGUGGUAGAAAGCAGUGCUUAGCAUGCACGAGGUCCUGGAUUCAAUCCCCAGUACCUCCA
rnacentral:tRNA from 1 species